rnacentral:rRNA from 1 species
CCUACGGGAGGCAGCAGUGGGGAAUAUUGCGCAAUGGGCGAAAGCCUGACGCAGCGACGCCGCGUGUGUGAUGAAGGCCUUCGGAUCGUAAACUACUGUCAGCAGGGAAGAACGGUCACUGUGUUAAUCAGCUGCUAAUUGACGGUACCUGCAAAGGAAGCACCGGCUAACUCCGUGCCAGCAGCCGCGGUAAUACGGAGGGUGCGAGCGUUAAUCGGAAUUACUGGGCGUAAAGCGCUCGUAGGCGGUAUGUCAAGUCAAGGGUGAAAUCCCCGCGCUCAACGUGGGAACUGCCUCUGAUACUGGCAAGCUGGAGUGUGUGAGAGGGUAGUAGAAUUCCAGGUGUAGGAGUGAAAUCCGUAGAUAUCUGGAGGAACAUCAGUGGCGAAGGCGACUAUCUGGCACAUAACUGACGCUGAGGUGCGAAAGCGUGGGUAGCAAACAGGAUUAGAUACCCCGGUAGUC